rnacentral:misc_RNA from 1 species
GUCAUAUCUUCCCUAGCUUUUGCUUUAUCCUUUGUCUUACCUUCUAUAUUCAUCACUGUGUUGAAUAUAUUCUCAAAGACAUUUUUCUCAAUGUGCAUAAUAUCUAAGUUAUGUCGAAUGAGGUUGGAAGACCAAUAUGGUAAAUCCCAAAAGAUACUCUUUUUCCGCCAACCAGUGUUUCUAGCUAUGAUAGCAUUAACCGCUUCACCAACACUAUCUAUCACUCUCCUUAACCCUAAAUCUUCUA